AACAUAUUCAAUUUAUGGUCGCGACAUGGUUUGUUUUUCUUCUGAAAAAAUCACAAAAUUUUGCAUCUCGUCUAGCUUAUGAUCCUCUUAGGAAUCAAAAUAUUUCAACCGCUGCGUUGCUUGCAUGACCAAACCUAUUCCGAGUUUGAGUCCUCUGCGCGGCUCCGGCAGGAAAUGGACGGCCGGUGCCGACGGAUUUGGAGCCUUGAAACGGCAUCUGUAACGCCUGUAUAAUAUGAUAAUUCCGGCGACUAUGAAGCAGGCGCAGAUGACGGCUAAGACGCGCGCUGAAAAUGAUUGCUUGGCUUUCCUUCUUGGAUACACCGACAUCGAUUCCGGGCUCCAUAAUGGCGUGGGGACACAGCUCAGGUAAUGACACCAAGAGCAAUGGUUAUUUCCAUCCACCCCUCGAAGCAGCAGUAAUUACCCGGCAAUCAAAAUGAUGGCGGCAAUGAUCAACAAGAAGCACUGAUAGGCCUUGUACUUGGGCUUGGAGUUAUUAUUGUUAAAGUUCUUGACCCAUC